GAAGGGCAAACCGAUCGCAAGAUCGGGACGCAAAGCUUCCGGUCCAGGGAUGAGCCGUACUUGAGAUAGCGGGGCCACCA
rnacentral:ncRNA from 1 species